UACGAAGGGGGCUAGCGUUGUUCGGAAUUACUGGGCGUAAAGCGCACGCAGGCGGUCGCGCGCGUGGGGUGUGAAAUCUGGCCGCUUAACGGCCAGGCGCCAUCCCAUACGGCGCGACUGGAGUGAUGCAGAGGUCGAUGGAAUUGCCGGUGUAGUGGUGAAAUGCGUAGAGAUCGGCAGGAACGCCCAGGGGGAAACCAGUCGACUGGGCAUCUACUGACGCUGAGGUGCGAGAGCGUGGGGAGCGAACCGG
rnacentral:rRNA from 1 species